UACGGAGGGGGCUAGCGUUGUUCGGAAUUACUGGGCGUAAAGCGCGUGUAGGCGGUCCGGUAAGUCCGCUGUGAAAGUCGGGGGCUCAACCCUCGAAUGCCGGUGGAUACUGUCGGGCUAGAGUGCGGAAGAGGCGAGUGGAAUUCCGUGGGUGAUAGCGGUGGAAAUACGGCAGAUAUCAGGAGGAACACCAAUUGCGAAGGCAGCUCGCUGGGACGUAACUGACGACUGGAGAACGCGAAAGCCGUGGGGAGCAAACAGG
rnacentral:rRNA from 1 species